GGGGAUGACCGGUUUUGACAGCGUGUAGAAGUGGUGAAGUAAGCAUGCAGAGCAAUGAUGGCUACGCUCUUUAAUCUGGGACAUCAAAAAUUUAAAUGGCGAAAACAACUACGCUCUUGCUGCUUGAUUGAAGUACAGUAGAUCAGCUUAAUCUCGGCAACAGUUGCUGAGACAAGACAUCACCCGAUUGUCAACGUCCCGAGACGGAUCGAACAGGUGGUGCAGGUAAAUCGGGAAUAGGAAUCUGAAAGCCUCGCGAUGAUUCCGAAACUUUAGAGGAUAAGGACACCAUUGGUCGUCGCUUGCCUGUGGUGCCACGAAAACCAAGUAGUGACUAAGCAUGUAGAAAGCUCAUUAAUUCCGCGUUUGGACGAGGGUUCAACCCCCUCCAUCUCCACUA
rnacentral:tmRNA from 1 species